AGAUUGAACGCUGGCGGCAUGCUUUACACAUGCAAGUCGAACGGCAGCACGGGGGCAACCCUGGUGGCGAGUGGCGAACGGGUGAGUAAUAUAUCGGAACGUACCCGGAAAUGGGGGAUAACGUAGCGAAAGUUACGCUAAUACCGCAUAUGCCCUGAGGGGAAAGCGGGGGAUUCGUAAGAGCCUCGCGUUUUCGGAGCGGCCGAUAUCGGAUUAGCUAGUAGGUGAGGUAAAGGCUCACCUAGGCGACGAUCCGUAGCUGGUCUGAGAGGACGACCAGCCACACUGGAACUGAGACACGGUCCAGACUCCUACGGGAGGCAGCAGUGGGGAAUUUGGACAAUGGGCGCAAGCCUGAUCCAGCCAUGCCGCGUGAGUGAAGAAGGCCUCGGUUGUAAGACUCUUCUAGCCGGAAAGAAAACGACACGGUUAAUACCCUAGUGUGGAUGACGUACCGGAAGAAGAAGACGACCGCUAACUACGUGCCAGCAGACCGC
rnacentral:rRNA from 1 species